UUUCUCUUAAAGAACUCAUUCGAAAGACUUGAGAUUAGAGUUAAAUUAGCUUUCAAAGACCUAGGACCUGAUCAGCCCGACAUUAACAUCGUCCAACAAACAAAGGACAAGGGUCGGUCAUUUAAUCGGACAUUUUCACGUUUGUGGUAUGAUAAGAAGCCCUGGCUCUCUGGUUGUCCUGAACGCAAUAAAUGUUCUGUUUUCCAUGCCUGCUUUUCCGAUCUUCUGGGGGACAAGGGGAUGUUUGGAGUAGUGCAGGUGUGUGUGACAUGAAACAUUUUUCAGAGAAGGCAAAAAACAUGAGGCUAGUAGGUCACAUCUGAGUUGUGCUAUGAAAUUAGCCAUGCUGGGGAAAGCUAAUAUUGCAGCAUAACUCGAUGAGGGCUACAGUGUAAGUGUACGAAAUCACAACAAAGAAGUGGGAACAUUCUUUCCAAUGUGAUAACCUGCAUACGUUCUGUGGUGCGUUUGAGCUAGCGCUUAGGGGGCACGACGAGACUGAAGCACCUAGCAAUCCUGGUAUUUUCAGAGGUCUUGUGGAUCUGGUUGCAUUGUUAGAAAGUAUAAUGCACAAACACUUAGAAACUGUGACCGUGUUCAAAUGUACUUCCAAGACCAUUCAAAAUGAGUUACUGGAUUGCAUGUUGGAUGUAAUGCAGGAUCAUAUCAUAACUGAUUUGAAAAAUGCGGAGUUCUUCUCUGUGCAAACAGACGAGACUACAGACGUGUCCACCCACUGCCAAAUAGUUGUAGUGUUUCGCUACAUAGACUCUGCUAACACUGUGCAAGAACGAUUUUUCUGUUUUAAAUCCAUUGAUGGAUGUACCCUAAUUCACAUUUUGUACAUUGCUAUGCACAUCAAUUGAACCUGGUGAUGGAAAAGGCUGCGUCAGCAGCAUCCUCAGUGCUUUGCACAUCAUUUGAA